CUGACAGCUCUUGAUUUCUAACAAAUGGAGGGAAGGAGGCUGUGCCAUAUCUCAUAACUUGAAGAGAAGAAAGGGUGAAUUUUACAGCCAAAGACUCAUGAAACGAAGAAAUCAUACGAGCAUUUGCAGAUUCAACAAGAUAAUUCUGCAAAUCGAGACCAUAUUUCUCCAGUUGCCAAGAGCACUUCAACAAUGGAAUAAGACUCUAGAUUCUAGCUGUAAAUUAAAUAGAUAA
rnacentral:lncRNA from 1 species